UCAGGAUGAACGCUAGCUACAGGCUUAACACAUGCAAGUCGAGGGGCAGCAUUGGGGUAGCAAUACUCAGAUGGCGACCGGCGCACGGGUGAGUAACACGUAUCCAACCUGCCGCUUACUCGGGGAUAGCCUUUCGAAAGAAAGAUUAAUACCCGAUGGUAUAAAGAGUUCGCAUGUUCUCUUUAUUAAAGAAUUUCGGUAAGCGAUGGGGAUGCGUUCCAUUAGAUAGUUGGCGGGGUAACGGCCCACCAAGUCUACGAUGGAUAGGGGUUCUGAGAGGAAGGUCCCCCACAUUGGAACUGAGACACGGUCCAAACUCCUACGGGAGGCAGCAGUGAGGAAUAUUGGUCAAUGGACGAGAGUCUGAACCAGCCAAAGUAGCGUGAAGGAUGACUGCCCUAUGGGUUGUAAACUUCUUUUAUAAGGGAAUAAAGUGAGGGACGUGUCCCUUUUUGUAUGUACCUUAUGAAUAAGGAUCGGCUAACUCCGUGCCAGCCGCCGC
rnacentral:rRNA from 1 species